rnacentral:tRNA from 7 species
GCCGAUGUAGCUCAAUGGUAGAGCGCCAGCUUCCCAAGCUGGACACGCGGGUUCGAUUCCCGUCAUCGGCUCCA